UACGUAGGGCGCAAGCGUUAUCCGGAAUUAUUGGGCGUAAAGAGCUCGUAGGCGGUUUGUCGCGUCUGCCGUGAAAGUCCGGGGCUCAACUCCGGAUCUGCGGUGGGUACGGGCAGACUAGAGUGAUGUAGGGGAGACUGGAAUUCCUGGUGUAGCGGUGAAAUGCGCAGAUAUCAGGAGGAACACCGAUGGCGAAGGCGGAUCUCUGGGCCACUACUGACGCUGAGAAGCGAAAGCAUGGGGAGCGAACAGG
rnacentral:rRNA from 1 species